rnacentral:rRNA from 1 species
GCGGAGGGAUCAUUAAUGAAUGGCCUCUGUGCCUUCAACCUUACAAACCUGUGGAAGCUAUAUGUGCUUCGGCGCUCAGGCGUCGUUUUUAUGCUACAAGUCAGUCUUUGUGUCUGAAUCAAACAAAAGAAAUAAAACUUUCAACAAAGGAUCUCUUGGCUCUCGCAUCGAUGAAGAACGCAGCGAAGCGCGAAAUGUAGUGUGAAUCGCAGAACAUUGUGAAUCAUCGAAUCUUUGAACGCACAUUGCGCCUCUAGUAACUUGGAGGCAUGCCUGUCUGAGCGUCAUUUAAAACCAUAAACCUGAAUGGGUUUGUAUUGGGCAUCGCCGCACGGCGUAGCCUCAAAGACAUUGGUCUUGAACGCGGACGGGCUCCUUUAGGACAGACCGUGUGAGGACUUUAAACAUCUGACUUGACCUCAGAUCAGGUAGGACUACCGCCUGAACUUAAGCAUAUCAAUA